rfam:Syntrophus sp. RIFOXYC2_FTLL_54_9 rifoxyc2_full_scaffold_4166, whole genome shotgun sequence.
GAGAGCCGGAUGCGGGAAAUCCGCCAGUCCGGUUCGGAGGGAGGGGCGAUGCAAUCCAAUGUGUCGUCCCUACCCCUAU